rnacentral:SRP_RNA from 1 species
GGGCAAGUCCUACACAACCAGCUCCCUUUGAAUCCUCCAGAGCGGGAACGCAGCAAAGGUAUUAGGUUGUAGCGGUGUGAUGUAGGUAGCUUGCCUUUU